rnacentral:rRNA from 1 species
CAGAGACAGGUGCUGCAUGGCUGUCGUCAGCUCGUGUCGUGAGAUGUUGGGUUAAGUCCCGCAACGAGCGCAACCCUUAUCCUUAUUUGCCAGCGGGUAAAGCCGGGAACUCUAGGGAAACUGCCAGGGACAACCUGGAGGAAGGCGGGGAUGACGUCAAAUCAUCAUGCCCCUUACGGCUUGGGCUACACACGUGCUACAAUGGUCUAAACAAAGGGAAGCUACCCUGUGAAGGUAAGCUAAUCCCAAAAAUACCAUCCCAGUCCGGAUUGUAGUCUGCAACUCGACUCCAUGAAGCUGGAAUCGCUAGUAAUCGCGAAUCAAAAUGCCGCGGUGAAUACGUUCCCGGGUCUUGUACACACCGAA